UUGAAGAGUUUGAUCAUGGCUCAGAUUGAACGCUGGCGGCAGGCCUAACACAUGCAAGUCGAACGGUAACAGGAAGAAGCUUGCUUCUUUGCUGACGAGUGGCGGACGGGUGAGUAAUGUCUGGGAAACUGCCUGAUGGAGGGGGAUAACUACUGGAAACGGUAGCUAAUACCGCAUAACGUCGCAAGACCAAAGAGGGGGACCUUCGGGCCUCUUGCCAUCGGAUGUGCCCAGAUGGGAUUAGCUUGUUGGUGGGGUAACGGCUCACCAAGGCGACGAUCCCUAGCUGGUCUGAGAGGAUGACCAGCCACACUGGAACUGAGACACGGUCCAGACUCCUACGGGAGGCAGCAGUGGGGAAUAUUGCACAAUGGGCGCAAGCCUGAUGCAGCCAUGCCGCGUGUAUGAAGAAGGCCUUCGGGUUGUAAAGUACUUUCAGCGGGGAGGAAGGGAGUAAAGUUAAUACCUUUGCUCAUUGACGUUACCCGCAGAAGAAGCACCGGCUAACUCCGUGCCAGCAGCCGCGGUAAUACGGAGGGUGCAAGCGUUAAUCGGAAUUACUGGGCGUAAAGCGCACGCAGGCGGUUUGUUAAGUCAGAUGUGAAAUCCCCGGGCUCAACCUGGGAACUGCAUCUGAUACUGGCAAGCUUGAGUCUCGUAGAGGGGGUAGAAUUCCAGGUGUAGCGGUGAAAUGCGUAGAGAUCUGGAGGAAUACCGGUGGCGAAGGCGGCCCCCUGGACGAAGACUGACGCUCAGGUGCGAAAGCGUGGGGAGCAAACAGGAUUAGAUACCCUGGUAGUCCACGCCGUAAACGAUGUCGACUUGGAGGUUGUGCCCUUGAGGCGUGGCUUCCGGAGCUAACGCGUUAAGUCGACCGCCUGGGGAGUACGGCCGCAAGGUUAAAACUCAAAUGAAUUGACGGGGGCCCGCACAAGCGGUGGAGCAUGUGGUUUAAUUCGAUGCAACGCGAAGAACCUUACCUGGUCUUGACAUCCACAGAACUUUCCAGAGAUGGAUUGGUGCCUUCGGGAACUGUGAGACAGGUGCUGCAUGGCUGUCGUCAGCUCGUGUUGUGAAAUGUUGGGUUAAGUCCCGCAACGAGCGCAACCCUUAUCCUUUGUUGCCAGCGGUCCGGCCGGGAACUCAAAGGAGACUGCCAGUGAUAAACUGGAGGAAGGUGGGGAUGACGUCAAGUCAUCAUGGCCCUUACGACCAGGGCUACACACGUGCUACAAUGGCGCAUACAAAGAGAAGCGACCUCGCGAGAGCAAGCGGACCUCAUAAAGUGCGUCGUAGUCCGGAUUGGAGUCUGCAACUCGACUCCAUGAAGUCGGAAUCGCUAGUAAUCGUGGAUCAGAAUGCCACGGUGAAUACGUUCCCGGGCCUUGUACACACCGCCCGUCACACCAUGGGAGUGGGUUGCAAAAGAAGUAGGUAGCUUAACCUUCGGGAGGGCGCUUACCACUUUGUGAUUCAUGACUGGGGUGAAGUCGUAACAAGGUAACCGUAGGGGAACCUGCGGUUGGAUCACCUCCUU
rnacentral:rRNA from 1 species